rnacentral:rRNA from 1 species
CGGGGGAACUGAAACAUCUAAGUACCCCGAGGAAAAGAAAUCAACCGAGAUUCCCCCAGUAGCGGCGAGCGAACGGGGAGGAGCCCAGAGCCUGAAUCAGUGUGUGUGUUAGUGGAAGCGUCUGGAAAGGCGCGCGAUACAGGGUGACAGCCCCGUACACAAAAAUGCACAUAUUGUGAGCUCGAUGAGUAGGGCGGGACACGUGGUAUCCUGUCUGAAUAUGGGGGGACCAUCCUCCAAGGCUAAAUACUCCUGACUGACCGAUAGUGAACCAGUACCGUGAGGGAAAGGCGAAAAGAACCCCGGCGAGGGGAGUGAAAAAGAACCUGAAACCGUGUACGUACAAGCAGUGGGAGCCUCUUUAUGGGGUGACUGCGUACCUUUUGUAUAAUGGGUCAGCGACUUAUAUUCUGUAGCAAGGUUAACCGAAUAGGGGAGCCGAAGGGAAACCGAGUCUUAACUGGGCGUUAAGUUGCAGGGUAUAGACCCGAAACCCGGUGAUCUAGCCAUGGGCAGGUUGAAGGUUGGGUAACACUAACUGGAGGACCGAACCGACUAAUGUUGAAAAAUUAGCGGAUGACUUGUGGCUGGGGGUGAAAGGCCAAUCAAACCGGGAGAUAGCUGGUUCUCCCCGAAAGCUAUUUAGGUAGCGCCUCGUGAAUUCAUCUCCGGGGGUAGAGCACUGUUUCGGCAAGGGGGUCAUCCCGACUUACCAACCCGAUGCAAACUGCGAAUACCGGAGAAUGUUAUCACGGGAGACACACGGCGGGUGCUAACGUCCGUCGUGAAGAGGGAAACAACCCAGACCGCCAGCUAAGGUCCCAAAGUCAUGGUUAAGUGGGAAACGAUGUGGGAAGGCCCAGACAGCCAGGAUGUUGGCUUAGAAGCAGCCAUCAUUUAAAGAAAGCGUAAUAGCUCACUGGUCGAGUCGGCCUGCGCGGAAGAUGUAACGGGGCUAAACCAUGCACCGAAGCUGCGGCAGCGACACUAUGUGUUGUUGGGUAGGGGAGCGUUCUGUAAGCCUGUGAAGGUGGCCUGUGAGGGUUGCUGGAGGUAUCAGAAGUGCGAAUGCUGACAUAAGUAACGAUAAAGCGGGUGAAAAGCCCGCUCGCCGGAAGACCAAGGGUUCCUGUCCAACGUUAAUCGGGGCAGGGUGAGUCGACCCCUAAGGCGAGGCCGAAAGGCGUAGUCGAUGGGAAACAGGUUAAUAUUCCUGUACUUGGUGUUACUGCGAAGGGGGGACGGA